GACGGGGGAUGCAAGUGUUAUCCGGAAUCACUGGGCGUAAAGCGUCUGCAGGUGGUUUCCUAAGUCCACUGUUAAACCUUGAGGCUCAACUCAAAUCUGCAUUGGAAACUAGGAGACUUGAGUAUAGUAGGGUAGAGGGAAUUUCCAGUGGAGCGGUGAAAUGCGUAGAUAUUGGAAAGAACACCGAUGGCGAAGGCACUCUACUGGGCUAUUACUGACGCUCAAGAGCGAAAGCGUGGGUAGCGAACAGG
rnacentral:rRNA from 1 species